rnacentral:misc_RNA from 1 species
CCGAGUUUACAACUCCCAAGCCCAAUGUGAACGUUACCAAACUGUUGCCUCGGCGGGGUCACGCCCCGGGUGCGUAAAAGCCCCGGAACCAGGCGCCCGCCGGAGGAACCAACCAAACUCUUUCUGUAGUCCCCUCGCGGACGUAUUUCUUACAGCUCUGAGCAAAAAUUCAAAAUGAAUCA